CUGCGAUCAAAUAUUAGGCUCCGUGCACCCUUCCCAAAGGAACGUUGGGAUUUUUUAAAAGAUGUGAAACGCCUGUUCACACUGGCACCAAAGAACGCUGAUGGUUUGAGUGCUGCCAGAUGUGCGCAAUGGUAGAUACCACAGCAUCGAUGGCGGACUAUUUUGAAUACAUUUCUCAGCAUUUAAAUCUAUCCCUGGCGUACUACAGAUUAUGCCCGAUUUCUAAACAAAUUCUUAUUGUAUUAAGCAGUAUCCUGCUUAAAAAUAAUUGUAACAUCAUUUUACAGUUUAGUUGCAACCUCCAUAAUAAUUUCUAAGUCAUUUCAGACGGACUGAGUGUAAAACCUUGAACAAAACUUAGUGUUAACUGCCGUCUUCAAGUAGAUACUUAUAUGAAUUUUAAGCAUAAUUGACUUAAGCACUUCAUUAAUAAUGAAGGGGUCAGAAUUAUAAACAGAGCGUGUCGAUCGUCAAGUGGUUUAAUUGCUUCCCGCAUCUCUGACAUCGGAAGCAUCGCCUCCGUUGCCGUCCCGGUCUUCUUCGUUUAUAAUUACAAUUAGCAGCUACGCCCAACAACAGACCGAACGACCGCACUCAAU
rnacentral:lncRNA from 1 species